rnacentral:rRNA from 1 species
GAUGAACGCUGGCGGCGUGCCUAACACAUGCAAGUCGAACGGAGAUUACGGACGGAAGUUUUCGGAUGGAAGACUGUAAUUCUUAGUGGCGGACGGGUGAGUAACGCGUGGGCAACCUGCCCUAUACAGGGGGAUAGCAGCUGGAAACGGCUGGUAAGACCGCAUAAGUCGGUUAAAUCGCAUGAUUUGAUCGGGAAAUGAGCAAUCAGGUAUAGGAUGGGCCCGCGUCCGAUUAGCCAGUUGGCAGGGUAAAAGCCUACCAAAGCGACGAUCGGUAGCCGGACUGAGAGGUCGGACGGCCACAUUGGGACUGAGACACGGCCCAAACUCCUACGGGAGGCAACAGUGGGGGAUAUUGCACAAUGGAGGAAACUCUGAUGCAGCGACGCCGCGUGAGUGAAGAAGUAUUUCGGUAUGUAAAGCUCUAUCAGCAGGGAAGAUGAUGACGGUACCUGACUAAGAAGCCCCGGCUAACUACGUG